rnacentral:pre_miRNA from 1 species
UUGCUACAAAAUAACUUAUUUUGUAGCCACUUUGAGUUACGAUAAUUACUAUAUUAAUUUACAAGAUUAUAAUAACUCCUUACUAAGUGGUUUACUAUAACAUUACGGUAAAUAUCCCCAUAUGUUAUAGUAACCCAACUAUCGUAAAUUAGUAUAUAAAAUUAUCGUAAAUGGAGGUGGCUACAGAAUAACAUAUUUUGUAGCUA